GCUGGUAAGUGUCUGAGAGAUUUAAACUCUGGUCUUCCUGAGCCCAAGCUCAGCACUCCCACUAAUAAGGAUGGAGAAUACAUCCAGCCUAGCAUGGGAGGAAAGGGAUGGGAACUACUCCUAACUACACCAAAGUAGGGUCCGGCAGCCCCAGCACCUACCAGCACAUCGCAGGUGUACCUCACAUUCUUUAAUGAAAGGCUCUUGUUGAACUGAAAUGAGAUGAUGCAACCUUGCCUGUAGGGUCGAUUGGGACAAACAGCUUCCCAGGAAGAAAAGAGUGAACCUAGACAGCCAGCCUCCACUGUUGGUCGGGAAAGCUAGUGUGAAGGCUGGGAGAGCACAAGGUAGGUGAGCCAUAAAUCUCAACUGAGGGUCCCUUCUGGAACAGCUAAGGAAACAGGGAACAAGGGACCAAAGUACCACGGAGACUGUCCUUCAAUGGAUACUGGAAUCUGGUGAAAGAAUGGAGAUGGACAGGUUAUUCUACUGGGGGAGAAAACCUUGGAACACGUGCCCCUGGGUAAGCCAAGACUCUGGGCUCACAUGGGCUGGGCGUGACUCCAGGGACUUUCCCAAAAAGUUCUCAACUGAUAGACAUCAUUCGCUACCCAUAGUGGUCCUCCAAUGUUCUACACCCCCCUCCCGGCUCCCAUCAUUGAAGAAAACAUUCCAGAAGGGUAGAGACCUCUCUUACACUGACAAAUGAUGACAGGUGAACAAUGAGAGAAAGCUGGGACUUGCACACUAAAGGUGGCUCUGGUAUUAUAGAAGAAUCCCCCAAACCUGAGCAUGCUCCUUCUUCCCUGUGACGUACGUGGCAAGCCCCAAACCACAUCUCCACCUGAAUUUGGCCAUGCUCACCUCCCAGGGUUUUGGGGCAACCUCUUUGGAAAACUCCCAGACUCCUGAUAAAUAUGCAAACCCUGAUCCACACGUGGAUGGCUAUUCUACACAUGAAGCUGCUACUUCAUUACCUA